AUGCAGUCGAGCGGCAGCGGGAAAGUAGCUUGCUACUUUUGCCGGCGAGCGGCGGACGGGUGAGUAAUGCCUGGGGAUCUGCCCAGUCGAGGGGGAUAACAGUUGGAAACGACUGCUAAUACCGCAUACGCCCUACGGGGGAAAGGAGGGGACCUUCGGGCCUUUCGCGAUUGGAUGAACCCAGGUGGGAUUAGCUAGUUGGUGGGGUAAUGGCUCACCAAGGCGACGAUCCCUAGCUGGUCUGAGAGGAUGAUCAGCCACACUGGAACUGAGACACGGUCCAGACUCCUACGGGAGGCAGCAGUGGGGAAUAUUGCACAAUGGGGGAAACCCUGAUGCAGCCAUGCCGCGUGUGUGAAGAAGGCCUUCGGGUUGUAAGGCACUUUCAGCGAGGAGGAAAGGUUGGCGCCUAAUACGCGUCAACUGUGACGUUACUCGCAGAAGAAGCACCGGCUAACUCCGUGCCAGCAGCCGCGGUACUACGGAGGGUGCAAGCGUUAAUCGGAAUUACUGGGCGUAAAGCGCACGCAGGCGGUUGGAUAAGUUAGAUGUGAAAGCCCCGGGCUCAACCUGGGAAUUGCAUUUAAAACUGUCCAGCUAGAGUCUUGUAGAGGGGGGUAGAAUUCCAGGUGUAGCGGUGAAAUGCGUAGAGAUCUGGA
rnacentral:rRNA from 1 species